AUUGAACGCUGGCGGCAGGCCUAACACAUGCAAGUCGAACGGAGGGGCGGACGGGUCAGUAAUGCCUAGGAAUCUGCCUGGUAGAGGGGGAUAACAUCCUGAAACGGGCGCUAAUACCGCAUACUAUCAGAUGAGCCUGCGUCGGAUUAGCUAGUUGGUUGGGUAAAGGCGUACCAAGGCGACGAUCCGUAACUGGUCUGAGAGGAUGACCGGCCACACUGGAACUGAGACACGGCCCAGACUCCUACGGGAGGCAGCAGUGGGGAAUAUUGGACAAUGGACGAAAGCCUGAUGCAGCCACGCCGCGUGUGUGAAGAAGGUUUUCGGAUGGUAAAGCACUUUAAGUUGGGAAGCGUUACCAACAGAAUAAGCCACGGCUAACUUCGUGCCAGCAGCCGCGGUAAUUC
rnacentral:rRNA from 1 species